AAUGGGCGAAAGCCUGACCCAGCAACGCCGCGUGAAGGAAGAAGGCUUUCGGGUUGUAAACUUCUUUGACAGGGGAAGAGUAGAAGACGGUACCCUGAAAACAAGCCACGGCUAACUACGUGCCAGCAGCCGCGGUAAUACGUAGGUGGCAAGCGUUGUCCGGAUUUACUGGGUGUAAAGGGCGUGCAGCCGGAGAGGCAAGUCAGAUGUGAAAUGCUUGGGCUUAACCCAGGAACUGCAUUUGAAACUGUCUCCCUUGAGUAUCGGAAAGGUAACCGGAAUUCCUAGUGUAGCGGUGAAAUGCGUAGAUAUUAGGAAGAACAUCAGUGGCGAAGGCGGGUUACUGGACGACAACUGACGGUGAGGCGCGAAAGCGUGGGGAGCAAA
rnacentral:rRNA from 1 species